UACGGAGGGUGCAAGCGUUAUCCGGAUUUAUUGGGUUUAAAGGGUCCGUAGGCGGACUGUUAAGUCAGCGGUGAAAGCCCACAGCUCAACUGUGGAACCGCCGUUGAUACUGGCAGUCUUGAGUACGUAUGAAGUUGGCGGAAUGUGUGGUGUAGCGGUGAAAUGCUUAGAUAUCACACAGAACACCGAUUGCGAAGGCAGCUGACUAAUACGAAACUGACGCUGAGGGACGAAAGUGUGGGGAUCAAACAGG
rnacentral:rRNA from 1 species